GCCUGGGUGGCUCAGUGGUUGGGUGUCUGACUUUGGCUCAGGGUAUGAUCCUGGAGUCCUGGGAUCAAGUCCCACUUCAGGCU
rfam:Canis lupus familiaris chromosome 34, whole genome shotgun sequence.